GCCGGCAUGGCGCAGUUGGUAGCGCAACUGAUUCGUAAUCAGUAGGUCACUGGUUCAAACCCAGUUGUCGGCU
rnacentral:tRNA from 1 species